UACGGGGGGGGCAAGCGUUGUUCGGAAUUACUGGGCGUAAAGGGCGCGUAGGCGGGCGGACAAGUCUCUCGUGAAAGCCCACGGCUCAACCGUGGAACUGCGGGAGAUACUGUCUGUCUUGAGUCCGGGAGAGGAGGGUGGAAUUCCCAGUGUAGCGGUGAAAUGCGUAGAUAUUGGGAGGAACACCGGUGGCGAAGGCGGCUCUCUGGACCGGUACUGACGAUGAGGCGCGAAAGCUAGGGGAGCAAACGGG
rnacentral:rRNA from 1 species